CUUUCCACAUAUUUGUGAAUUUCCAGAGUUUUUUUUUUCUGCUAUUGAUUUCUAAUUUCAUUCCAUUGUGGUUGGAAAACACACAUUGUAUGACUUCUAUCCUUUCAAUUUUAUUGAGGUUUUCUUUUUUUUUUUUUUUUUUUUUGAGACUGAGUCUCGCUCUGUCGCCCAGGCUGGAGAGCAGUGGCACUGUCUCUGCUCACUGCAAGCUCUGCCUCCCGGGUUCACGCCAUUCUCCUGCCUCAGCCUCCCAAGUAGGUGGGACUACAGGCGUCCACCCCCACGCCCGGCUAAUUUUUUGUAUUUUUUAGUAGAAACGGGGUUUCAUCAUGUUUGCCAGGAUGGUCUCGAUCUCCUGACCUCAUGAUCCACCCCCCUCGGCUUCCCAAACUUCUGGGAUUACAGGCAUGAGCCACCGUGCCCGGCCUUAUUGAGGUUUUCUUAAUGGCCUAGUAUGUGGCCUUGAAGAGUGUUCCGUGUGCGCGUGAGAAGCGUGUGUGUGGUGGUUGUUGGGUGGAGUGUUCUAACCUGUUUAUGAAGUCUAGCUGUAGUGUUGUUCUUAUCUUCUGGUUCUUUGUUGAUCUUCUAGUUGUUCUAUCCCUUAUUGAAAGUGGGGUACUGGAGUCUCCAACUGACAUACUUUUAUUUUAGCUUUUUAUUUUGGAAAAUUUCAAACAUAUAUGAAAGAAGAGAUAAUGUACUUAACUCAUCACCCAGCUUCAACAUUUAUCAACAUCUUGCCAAUCUUAUUGAAUCUAUCCUUCCUUACCUUUUUUAAAAAUGUUUCCUAGAGUAUGUCAAAGCUCAUCCCAGAUGUCCUAAUGUUUCUAGUAAAUGCUUCUGCACAAUUCUAAAAGACAAGGAUGUUUUUAAACCCAGCCCCGACACUAUCAUACCUCACAAGAUUCAUGCUAAUUCCUCAGUGUCUUCUAGUCCCAAGUCCAUGCUCAAGUGUCCCCCGCUGUCCAGGCACCCUCUUCAGGGGUCCUCCAUGUUUCAUAGUGAGAAGGGACCCUCAGGGUUGGGCACCCCGGGCAGGCUGGCUGGAGGGGGCUUUGGAAAGGAAGGCUUUGGCGAGGGUGUGAGGGUGCAGGUCCUCACCAGCUCCUGUUUGGUCUGUUUCAGGAACAAAUGUGGUAUCUGGGGCUGGCGGUCGGAGAAGAUGGAAACUGUUAGCGGCUACGAGGCCAAGGCAGGAGAGGCCGGGGGUGGGGGCCAGGGGUAGGCGAUGAGGUCCAGGAACUCAAGGGUGGGGGCGGGGGUAGGCGAUGAGGUCCAGGAACUAGCUCCUCUCCACAUCCAUCCCAGAGUAGCCUUUGGGCUCUGGAAACCCUGAGCAUUUGUGGGAACUCAGCGGGCCUGAGUGCCCAGCCCCUGUGGAAUACAUAGGGCUCACCCACAUCACGGACCCCUACCCAGGGUACCGAGAUCAAAAGAGGAGUGUGUUCCUCUUGACCCUGGGGCUGCAUCUCCUCGUUGGUGACUUCCCGGGGUUCAGACCCUGCCACCUCCUCCAUUUUGGGGAGCAAGAUCUCAUCUGUCUCUGGGACAGGAGGACCUGGGUUCUGCACUGGUGAGGCUGAGUGUGGGAAGCAGGCUCUGAGCCCCCAGCUCCCCGUGUCCCCUGCUCCCCAGGUGUAUAGUGCCACCAACGUGGAGCUGGUGACACGCACGCGCACGGAGCACCUCUCUGAUCAGGACAAGUCGAGGAGCAAAGCGGGGAAGACUCCGUUCCAGUCCUUCCUGGGGAUGGCCCAGCAGCAUUCCUCCCACACCGGGGCCCCCGUGCAGCAGGCAGCCAGCCCCACCAACCCCACAGCCAUCUCCCCUGAGGAGUACUUCGACCCCAACUUCAGCCUGGAGUCACGGAACAUUGGCCGCCCUAUCGAGAUGUCCAGCAAAGUACAGAGGUUCAAGGCAACACUGUGGCUGAGCGAAGAGCACCCGCUCUCCCUGGGUGACCAGGUGACGCCCAUCAUCGACCUAAUGGCCAUCAGCAACGCUCACUUUGCCAAGCUGCGCGACUUCAUCACCCUGCACCUUCCACCUGGCUUCCCCGUCAAAAUUGAGAUUCCCCUUUUCCACGUGCUCAACGCCCGCAUCACCUUCAGCAACCUGUGUGGCUGUGACGAGCCCCUGAGCUCCGUGUGGGUGCCGGCCCCCAGCUCUGCUGUCGCCGCGUCAGGGAACCCUUUCCCGUGCGAGGUGGACCCCACUGUGUUUGAAGUGCCCGAGGGGUACAGCGUGCUAGGCACGGAGCGCAGCGAGCCCCUCCGAGACGAGGACGAUGACCUCCUGCAGUUCGCCAUCCAGCAGAGCCUGCUUGAAGCGGGCACCGAGGUGGAGCAGGUGGGACUUGCGCAGGGGGUGGGCUCUGGCCUCUGCAGCCACAGGGCAGAAGUGACAGUUGUGGGCUCCGGUGGCUGCAGGUGACCGUCUGGGAAGCCCUGACCAACACCCGGCCCGGUGCCCGCCCUCCUCCCCAGGCCACGGUUUAUGAGGAACAGCUUCAGCUGGAGCGGGCCCUCCAGGAAAGCCUGCGGCUGUCCACAGAGCCCAGGGGCCCAGGAUCCCCUCCCAGGACACCCCCAGUCCCCGGCCCACCCAGCUUUGAAGAGCAGCUGCGCCUGGCCCUGGAGUUGUCUUCACGGGAGCAGGAGGAGCGGGAGCGACGCGGGCAGCAGGAGGAGGAGGACUUACAGCGGAUCCUGCAGCUGUCACUCACCGAGCACUGAGCCACAGCCCCGGGAGGGCUGGCCAGGCCACUCCCUGCCCGCUUUUGUAAUUUAUUUAUUUAUAAACUCUCUGCUGCUGAGCUUGGGGCCUGGAGCCCCAGGAAUGGGCAGGCAGGGGAGACUGAGAUGGAAAUAAAGAGACUGCCGCAGC
rnacentral:sRNA from 1 species